AUCACAAUUCCCUUGGCUAAAUUUAGACUCCUUUCCUAGGGUGUGGGGAUCGAACUCAUAACCUUGCGCUUGCCAGGCAAGCGCUUAUGCUGCUGAGCUAAAUCCCUAACGCUUUUCCUACGAUUUUGUGGAAAGAUACUUUGAGACUGUAUAAACAUUUUAGUUCUUGUGAAAUUUUAAUCAGCUAAUUUUAAUUUUUUUGUUUGUUUGGUUUUUGUUCUUUGUUUUGGAAACAGGGUCUUGCUGUGUAGUCCAGGCUGGCCUUGAACUCACAGAGAUCCUCCUGCCUCAGACCCUGGAGUGCUGUGAUUAUAGGAACCUCAGCUGCUCUGGGACUAAGACAAAGAGCUGCCAAGAAGAUGGAAAGAGCAAGAGGGAGCUCUGAAGAAGAAAUGGGAGGCAGGACGCACCCGGAGGCAGAACCAGGGAAGGCGACCAGCUCUUGACCCGGGUGCAGUUCUCUAGAGGUGCCUGGGUGAUCACUGGUAAGUGGAGGGAGUUAGCGACAGGAACAGGAAGCCCUGGCACUGGUUCUAAGCGGAAGAAGCCAUCCAUUGUUUUCCUUCCAAACUACCAUGUAGCCCUUUUCUUCCUUCCUUUUUUUUUUUUUUUUUGCCUUUUUCGUUUUUAUCGGUACCAGGGAUCGAACUCACGAUGACUGCCUGCUUGCAAGGCAGGUGCUUAUACCACUGAGCUAAAUCCCCAGCCCCCCUUCCUUUUUUAUGAGACAAUCUCACUCUGCAUUCCAGGCUGGCCUCAAAUUCAUGGCAGUCCCCUACCUCAGUCUCCUGAGUGCUGGGAUUACAGGUAUGCAACACCACACCCAGCCCAAGUAGUUUAUUUUUAAAAUCUGUACCAUUUUUAUAAUUUUAGACAUACAGAAAAAUCCUGGCAUGAGUCCAGAGUUCCCACCACUCCCUCACCCCCUUUCCCCUUACUGACAUCUGGCUUUAGCACGGUUCUGUUAGACAACUAAGUUAGGCAGAAAUACCAUAUGCAGUCAGAUAGGGGAUGAGAACAUACCAAAACUGUGGCUGGAGGAUAAGGUUGUAAGUUCCAUCCCAGUACCAAAAAAAAAAAAAAAAAAGACUAUAAGGGGCUAAGGAUAUAGAUAUAGCUCAGUGGUACAGUGCUUGCCUGGCAAGUGCAAGGUCCUGAGUUUGAUUCCUGGUGUGUGUGUGUGUGUGUGUGUAAUAGAUUAUCCACCAAGGUUAAUGUCAUCCAUAUGUCUUUGCUAUUAUUGGAUCAGUAUUAGCCAAGUACCUAUAUUUGCAUUUUGUAAUCCACCUCGUGAUUUUGCUCCAUAAAACUUUCUCAGAGAAAUUAGCGCAUUGGCAGCCCACGUUCAGGUCCCCUCCUGUGUCUCAUGAGCUAUCUCUUUCGAUAAAACUUCCUACUUAA